GUUGCCUCUGUAGUGGACAGUUAAUGCCAGGAUUCCCCAAAUCCUGCCCUUUUCCACUUGGACUCUCCAGUUACUGCAGUGGGCUCACUCUCCAUGGCAAGAUUGUGUUUGGCAGGGCUUGCCCUUCCCUGGGCUCCUCACCACCAGAGCACUCCUGCCCUGAUAUCAGUCCAAUGACCAGACACCACAGUCGGUUGUGGAAUAGGUGGUGUUCAUUCUAAAUAUUACAAUUGCUGGCCCAAUCCAUUUUCUUUCCUGCUCAAGCCAAACUACAACAGAUAAAAUGUAUUAGCCACUUGUUAAAUAUUUCUUGACUCUGAUAUGCCUCUAUCAGAGACCUGUAUUCAUGAAAACACUCAUAGAUGAGCCAAGAAGACAACAUUGUAUGGCAACUACCGCAUUCUCCUAUCCUUCCAUGCACUUCCUGUUUAUUGCUUAGGACUUGAUCAACCUGUAUCUAUUACUGCCUGGGGCACAUCAGAGUCACCCAAAAUCCUGUUAGAUGACUAUGUUGAAAGAGUUGCUCCUGCAUAGGAUGGGGGACAAAUUUUGGACCCCUGAGUGGCACGGUUGUCCUANAGGCUUGAGGGCAAGAAAUGGGAAUCUGCAUCUCUCUCUCAGCAAUCACCCUGUGCUUAUUAUUAUAAUAGCCCAAUUAUCCAUGCAUCUGCUCACAAGGCGGGGGCAGGGCAGCAGGGCCACUCUGGCCUGCGCCCUCUCUUUGGCCCGACCCUCUCCUGGCAGAUGGGAUCAGCCCACGUCUCAUCAGGAGCGAGAGAGGAGAAAUGAGAAAUGGAGAGUCAGAAGGAUUUAAUAUGUCCAUCAACCCCUCCUACUCACUCUCCACUACCUUGUGUGUUUAUUAGUUAGCAUUUUAUGUGGUAAGUUAUCCUGAACAAAUACUAUUAUGGGAUUGAAAAGGGAAACCAAAAGGUAUUUAAAAAUGCCGAGUCAUGGAGGAAGCUUGAAAGGAAUGAUGGGAGUAGAUUUAGAGACCGGGGAGAAAUUAUGUCUCUGGACAUUAACGUUGGAUAUUCUGGAGACUGAUUCCCCCAAAUGAUAACUCUUUAUUCUAAGAAUAAAGGACCCAAAGGACAUGAGGUAGAAAUGGUAAACUUGCUAAUGAUUUACAGGGGUGCUCCACCCUGGCUGUCCAUGAGAAAUGCUUGGGGAAUAAAAAUUAGUCAUGAGGGGACCCACCCCUCAAAGGAGGAUUCCUGGAUGGUGGGGCUCAGGCAUUAAUAUUUUUAAAGGCUCCCCAGAUGAUUUUGAUACACAGGGAAGGCAAAGAAGACCAAAAGACAGUCAGCACUGUUUUCUUCAAUAAAGAAGGAAGUUGGGAGAUGCCCAAAGCAGAAAAGAAACCAUUUGUGGUUUUAAAUACAUGAUACCAAUUUAAUAUAAUACUGACUUUAGUAGCAACUAACACUUUGUGCACUAAGCACUUUACUUGCAUAAAUUCAUGUAAUUCUGAUAAUAAUCUAGGAAGAACACAUAAUUAUUGGCCCCAUUUUACAAAUAAGGGCACCAAGGCUUAGGGAGAUGUAGUAACUUGACCAAAGCCAACAUAUUGACUCUAAUGUGUAACAGGCACAUAAACGUAGAUAGCAUGGAAAAUGCCAAGAUAAGCAAGACACAGGCCGACUCUCAAGUUGCUACCUUGGAGUAGAGGAGCAAAUAAAUGACGAAAAGUCCAAAGUACAAUAUGACAACCGCAUAGAGUUACAAAACAUGCAGGAACCACAGGACAGGGAGAAGGAGCAAAGGCUCUGGGGGAGUGGAGUCAAAUAGGAAGAUAAGCUGCAGAUUCUGCCAGGCGAUGAAGGCCGCAGGGUAGCAGCAGAAGGAGGAGGUCCCAGGGAGAAUGCAUAGUGUACAGAAACACAAGAAAGAGCUGAAAACUGGCAAACGGCCCAGUGCACUGAAGAUUUUUUUUUUUUUAAAAGGCAUAAGGCUGGGGAGGAAGUUUCCCUGAACUGUGGGAGUUUUAAUAGGAUCUUGAAGGUACAGGAUAUGCACAGGUAUCCAAACAGGGGGUGCCAUGGCACAGUGAGUGUUUCAGGAGAUCUUCCAUAGGAAGGCGAAGCAAUCCCAGGCCACCAGGCUUGGAUCUCAGUGAAUGCAAGGAGGACAGAAGAACUAAGGCACCUGGGAAAUAUUUUGCAUCCAGCUCUGAUGCUUGAUCUUGCACUGAGUUAUUAUUCUAUGUAAGAGCCACAGCCCUGGCCUGGCUAGAACUACCCUGAUAAAUCCAUCUUUCUCCAGUGACUGUGGUUGCUGCUAUAGUUUCUAGGGUAAAAGAGGGUGUGUAGUUAUAUUCUCUACAUAUUUUAGAUUUCUGUUGCUUUUAGACUUUGUACUUUUUCUCAGUGUCUAUGAGGACACAUGAUAUUUGAUUUUUCCCAUCAAAAAUGAAAUGAAGAGAAUGAAAACACAGGGUGAUGGCUAGGGAUGACUUCUUUAUAUUUUUCAUAUGGUAGAGUAUUUCUUACUUUCCGCUGCAGAACUUCCACUAGGACCUGGGACUCUGGGGGUGUCACAGUUUGGCUAAUGAAAAAUAUAUUUACUAGCAACUUUAUGUUUUAUCUUUAAAAUUCAUGUAAAUUCUAUAAUCCUGUGAUAUAUCCAGACUUUCCUGUUAUGACAUACCUGGUUUAUCCCAUGACUUUGUAGGAACUUCUGGCUCCCCACCAUGGAUUGCCCUUUGUCAAAAGACCAUCCUGAUAAUUUCAGCGUAGGACUGCAUUUUUUACUUGAACAUGAGUCACUUGAAAGGCUGCUUUAAGUUAUCUAUUUCACUAUAAUCAAAGAAAACAGCUUGUAAACCUUAUUUGCUCUUUUUUCCUCUUCCGCACAGGCUAACGUAGACAUUAACGUAUAUGUCAUCGUGCCACUUGGUGAAAAAAUGCUCUUCAAUUAAAGACCCCCUUUGUUUACAAGGUCAGUAAAGAUAUGACGAAUCUAUUAAAAGUCUAAUCACCUUCUCCACUGUGCAAAAUCUACGCAGGGGAAAGACCAGAGGGGAAGGAGAGUUUCAGAAAAAGAAGUCGACUUGGACAUUUGACCAAUAUAGAGUGACAGCAGGAAGACAUCCUUGAUCUUCAUGAAAAGUAGGUACCCUCUGUAGAUCUUCAUCUUCAUGCACAAUGACACCUCCUGCUCCAAAAGCUCAUGGCCCCCCAGGUAUAUUUGCUGUUGCUUCUCUCCUUUCCAAGGUUCUGGCUUCCUUUCAAGCCAUUAGAUUCUCACAUCUAACACCUUCUUCUCAGCCAGCUUUUCUGUGGCUUUUCUUCCUUAUGGGCCUUUCAUAGCUCAUUCGCUGCUUCUUUUUGUUCUUUUUGGCACUGGGGGUUGAACCAGGAGUCUUUACCACUGAGCUACAUCUCUGGUUCUUUUAAUUUUUUUUUUUUUUUUAAAUUUUGAGACCCAAUCUUGCUAAGUUGCUUAGGGCCUUGCUCAGUUGCUGAGGUUGGCCUUGAACUUGCAAUCCUCUGCCUCGGCCUCCUGAGCUACUGGAAUUACAGGUGUGCACUACUGCACCCUUGAGCUUAUAGCUCACUCAUUUCUAUUUUUUGUUUAAUGUUAGGGAUUGGUCCCAGGGCUUUGUGCAUGCUAAACAUGCUCUCCAUCACUGACCUACACCCUUAACACCUUUAUCCCAUCUUGAUAAAGCACUUAGUAGAGUCCAUCUUCUCACCCCAUCUGUUGCUUCUCAGAUUUCUCCAGCGAUGUUGCCUCUGUAGUGGACAGUUAAUGCCAGGAUUCCCCAAAUCCUGCCCUUUUCCACUUGGACUCUCCAGUUACUGCAGUGGGCUCACUCUCCAUGGCAAGAUUGUGUUUGGCAGGGCUUGCCCUUCCCUGGGCUCCUCACCACCAGAGCACUCCUGCCCUGAUAUCAGUCCAAUGACCAGACACCACAGUCGGUUGUGGAAUAGGUGGUGUUCAUUCUAAAUAUUACAAUUGCUGGCCCAAUCCAUUUUCUUUCCUGCUCAAGCCAAACUACAACAGAUAAAAUGUAUUAGCCACUUGUUAAAUAUUUCUUGACUCUGAUAUGCCUCUAUCAGAGACCUGUAUUCAUGAAAACACUCAUAGAUGAGCCAAGAAGACAACAUUGUAUGGCAACUACCGCAUUCUCCUAUCCUUCCAUGCACUUCCUGUUUAUUGCUUAGGACUUGAUCAACCUGUAUCUAUUACUGCCUGGGGCACAUCAGAGUCACCCAAAAUCCUGUUAGAUGACUAUGUUGAAAGAGUUGCUCCUGCAUAGGAUGGGGGACAAAUUUUGGACCCCUGAGUGGCACGGUUGUCCUACCCCAAGGAAUUGGGAAGCAACUGGAAGGAGGGCAAAAGGGAAAGUAUGUCUGGUCAGAAAUACACGCACAAGGAGUCUCAACUGGAAAGUUUACAGUGAGGGAAGAAACACUGAAGAGAACUGUAAUCCCUUGAAACUGCCUGAACCUAAUACAAGGGACACUUUCAGGGGACACGUUGGGAAGAGUUGAAGCCACAAUUGGAUUUGUUACCUGAAGUCAGGGUUGGAUACAGGAAAAUGGUUGAGCAGAAGCAAAAGGGAAACAUGAGAAGAGCUCAGGACUUGGGGAGAAGAGAAGUGCCGCAGUCAGGCUGGGCACAAAUAACCGGGAGGUCAAGCCACUUGUAGAUUCAAGCAGGAAUGAACUUUAUUUUCAAACUCACACAAACGCCACCCACGCAACCCUCCAGAAACUCUGCGCGCUCUCAACCGGAACUCAACCAACCACGCGAACUCUCUAGGAACCUCGCGAGAGCUCAACCGGAACUCAACAGGAACUCCGCGAGAACUCAAAAAUAGCGGGCACCAGAGACAGCAGGAACCGCCUCCUUCUGGCAAAAUGCCAGGCACCAUCUUGACCUGGCCGUGGCUCUCAACAGAGAAGGAGGAAUAAACUCUUAAGGUCAACUCAAACAAGAACCAAAGACCCAAGUGUUGGGUGGGUAGAGGUCGACCACGUACCUUGGUCAAGUCCCUCAUUUCCUUGCUGGAGGGGUGGAAAUCUUUUCAAGGAGAGGAUCUUGGCACCGACCACAGGCUGCUAGGUCAAGCAGUGACAGCAGAGAGGUUACAAACUGCCCUGGUGUGCUGGCUUCCCUGUGGAGAGAGCGACAUAAGCACAGAUCCUGGCUAGUAGGGUUUUCUCCGGACUCCACGCCCACCAGGUCCCAGAGUUUCUGCUCACAACAGCGGAAAACAAUUACCAAAGAUACAAGGUGAGGAUGCUGUAUUAUUUAUACACCGACUGCCCACCUCUAGACUUUCCAGACAGCAACGUCAGUGUUUUCUACCCAACAAUAAAAAUUUGUGAAUGGCCAUUUAUUUGCAGAAAUAAACAUAAUCUCAAAAGGACUGUACCCAAUGAAACUCUUGUUACUGGGUUCCAUGACUUUUCUGAAAGGGCCAAUUAAAUGCAUCACGCAGGGAAAGCCACUUAGAACAGACCCUGUCAAAUGUUCUUCAUGAAAAGGGACCUGGAGUCAUAGUACAAAGACUUCCUUGGGAGGCCAGGCCUUCCCUGAUGCUUAUCUGAAAGACUCACCAUUCUCUACAUGUGAAUGAGAUUUCUUGUUGUCAUGGUUACAGUUAACAGUAAUUCAAUUCAACAUAAUGACAUAUAUAUGCAUCAAUGGUGACAUCAGAGUUGACCCCUCUGUGUCUGAAAAGAAGCUCUGAUGCCUGUCUUUGGACGUCCCAGGAGGGCACUCUGCAGCCCUACGUAGCCUUGGGCUUCUAUGCAUUCCUCUCCUUCACAGUUAUUGAAAUCUACUAUGUGGCAGGUCCUCUGCUGGACCUAGAGAUACUGUAAUAAAUACCUCAAUGACUAAGGAAAUUGGAAUUUGGAUGUAAAAAACAAGACCAAGUAGUCUACCACACAGGAUAAUGGUGUCAAGUAAAGGAAGGCACUGCAGAGGCCCACUCCAAAUGAACCGCUCGGGUUCAUUUAGUUAUGAAAAAUGGCAUGCAUUUCUUUCCUAUAGUGUCCCAGUGAACUACUACAUUAGUGACUUAAAAUAACCAAAAUGUGUACAUUAGAAUUCUGAUGAGGGUCUCAAAGGGCUUAAAUCAAAGUGUUGAUAGCCCUGUGUUCCUUUUUGGAGACUCCAGGGGGAAAAAAAAUUCCAGUUUUUAAAGGCAGCCCACAUUCCUUGGCUCCUGGCCCCUUCC
rnacentral:lncRNA from 1 species